rnacentral:pre_miRNA from 1 species
CUACAAGUACAUUGACCUUAGGUUGUAUAAUGUAGUAUUAAUCAUUAAUACUACAUUAUACAACCUAAGGUCAAUGUACUCGUAGUAUUGAU